UUAAGUUAAUAAGGGCGCACGGUGGAUGCCUUGGCACUAGGAGCCGACGAAGGACGUGACAAACGACGAUAUGCCUUGGGUAGCUGUAAGUAAGCGAUGAUCCAGGGAUUUCCGAAUGGGGGAACCCAACAGGUAGUACCUGUUACCCACGUCUGUUAAGGAUGUGAGGAGGAAGACGCAGUGAACUGAAACAUCUAAGUAGCUGCAGGAAGAGAAAGCAAAAGCGAUUGCCUUAGUAGCGGCGAGCGAAACGGCAGGAGGGCAAACCGAAGAGUUUACUCUUCGGGGUUGUAGGACUGCAAUGUGGACUCAAAGAUUAUAGAAGAAUGAUUUGGGAAGAUCAGCCAAAGAGAGUAAUAGCCUCGUAUUUAAAAUAGUCUUUGUACCUAGCAGUAUCCUGAGUACGGCGGGACACGUGAAAUCCCGUCGGAAUCUGGGAGGACCAUCUCCCAACCCUAAAUACUCCCUAGUGACCGAUAGUGAACCAGUACCGUGAGGGAAAGGUGAAAAGCACCCCGGGAGGGGAGUGAAAUAGAACCUGAAACCGUGUGCCUACAACAAGUUCGAGCCCGUUAAUGGGUGAGAGCGUGCCUUUUGUAGAAUGAACCGGCGAGUUACGUUAUGAUGCGAGGUUAAGUUGAAGAGACGGAGCCGUAGGGAAACCGAGUCUGAAUAGGGCGCCUUAGUAUCAUGACGUAGACCCGAAACCAUGUGACCUACCCAUGAGCAGGUUGAAGGUGCGGUAAGACGCACUGGAGGACCGAACCAGGGCACGUUGAAAAGUGCUUGGAUGACUUGUGGGUAGCGGAGAAAUUCCAAACGAACUUGGAGAUAGCUGGUUCUCUCCGAAAUAGCUUUAGGGCUAGCGUCGACAUUAGAGAUUCUUGGAGGUAGAGCACUGUUUGGGUGAGGGGUCCAUCCCGGAUUACCAAUCUCAGAUAAACUCCGAAUGCCAAUGAAUUAUGGUCGGCAGUCAGACUGCGAGUGCUAAGAUCCGUAGUCGAAAGGGAAACAGCCCAGACCACCAGCUAAGGUCCCAAAAUAAUUGUUAAGUGGAAAAGGAUGUGGGGUUGCACAGACAACUAGGAUGUUAGCUUAGAAGCAGCUAUUCAUUCAAAGAGUGCGUAAUAGCUCACUAGUCGAGUGACCCUGCGCCGAAAAUGUACCGGGGCUAAAACAAUUUACCGAAGCUGUGGAUACCUUUAUAGGUAUGGUAGGAGAGCGUUCUAUGUGUGAUGAAGGUAUACCGUGAGGAGUGCUGGAACGCAUAGAAGUGAGAAUGCCGGUAUGAGUAGCGAAAGACAGGUGAGAAUCCUGUCCACCGUAAGACUAAGGUUUCCAGGGGAAGGCUCGUCCGCCCUGGGUUAGUCGGGACCUAAGGAGAGACCGAAAGGUGUAUCCGAUGGACAACAGGUUGAUAUUCCUGUACUAGAGUAUGUAGUGAUGGAGGGACGCAGUAGGCUAACUAAAGCAGACGAUUGGAAGAGUCUGUCUAAGCAGUGAGGUGUGAAUUGAGUCAAAUGCUUAAUUCUAUAACAUUGAGCUGUGAUGGGGAGCGAAGUUUAGUAGCGAAGUUAGUGACGUCACACUGCCAAGAAAAGCUUCUAGCGUUUAAACAUACUCUACCCGUACCGCAAACCGACACAGGUAGUCGAGGCGAGUAGCCUCAGGUGAGCGAGAGAACUCUCGUUAAGGAACUCGGCAAAAUGACCCCGUAACUUCGGGAGAAGGGGUGCUGACUUAAAGUCAGCCGCAGUGAAUAGGCCCAAGCAACUGUUUAUCAAAAACACAGCUCUCUGCUAAAUCGUAAGAUGAUGUAUAGGGGGUGACGCCUGCCCGGUGCUGGAAGGUUAAGAGGAGUGCUUAGCGUAAGCGAAGGUAUGAAUUGAAGCCCCAGUAAACGGCGGCCGUAACUAUAACGGUCCUAAGGUAGCGAAAUUCCUUGUCGGGUAAGUUCCGACCCGCACGAAAGGCGUAAUGAUUUGGGCACUGUCUCAACGAGAGACUCGGUGAAAUUUUAGUACCUGUGAAGAUGCAGGUUACCCGCGACAGGACGGAAAGACCCCAUGGAGCUUUACUGCAGUUUGAUAUUGAGUGUCUGUACCACAUGUACAGGAUAGGUAGGAGUCUAAGAGAUCGGGACGCCAGUUUCGAAGGAGACGCUGUUGGGAUACUACCCUUGUGUUAUGGCCACUCUAACCCAGAUAGGUGAUCCCUAUCGGAGACAGUGUCUGACGGGCAGUUUGACUGGGGCGGUCGCCUCCUAAAAGGUAACGGAGGCGCCCAAAGGUUCCCUCAGAAUGGUUGGAAAUCAUUCGCAGAGUGUAAAGGUAUAAGGGAGCUUGACUGCGAGAGCUACAACUCGAGCAGGGACGAAAGUCGGGCUUAGUGAUCCGGUGGUUCCGUAUGGAAGGGCCAUCGCUCAACGGAUAAAAGCUACCCUGGGGAUAACAGGCUUAUCUCCCCCAAGAGUUCACAUCGACGGGGAGGUUUGGCACCUCGAUGUCGGCUCGUCGCAUCCUGGGGCUGUAGUCGGUCCCAAGGGUUGGGCUGUUCGCCCAUUAAAGCGGCACGCGAGCUGGGUUCAGAACGUCGUGAGACAGUUCGGUCCCUAUCCGUCGCGGGCGUAGGAAAUUUGAGAGGAUCUGCUCCUAGUACGAGAGGACCAGAGUGGACUUACCGCUGGUGUACCAGUUGUCUUGCCAAAGGCAUCGCUGGGUAGCUAUGUAGGGAAGGGAUAAACGCUGAAAGCAUCUAAGUGUGAAACCCACCUCAAGAUGAGAUUUCCCAUGAUUAUAUAUCAGUAAGAGCCCUGAGAGAUGAUCAGGUAGAUAGGUUAGAAGUGGAAGUGUGGCGACACAUGUAGCGGACUAAUACUAAUAGCUCGAGGACUUAUCCAA
rnacentral:rRNA from 1 species